AGUGAACGCUGGCGGUAGGCCUAACACAUGCAAGUCGAACGGCAGCACAGUAAGAGCUUGCUCUUACGGGUGGCGAGUGGCGGACGGGUGAGGAAUACAUCGGAAUCUACUUUUUUGUGGGGGAUAACGUAGGGAAACUUACGCUAAUACCGCAUACGACCUACGGGUGAAAGCAGGGGAUCUUCGGACCUUGCGCGAUUGAAUGAGCCGAUGUCGGAUUAGCUAGUUGGCGGGGUAAUGGCCCACCAAGGCGACGAUCCGUAGCUGGUCUGAGAGGAUGAUCAGCCACACUGGAACUGAGACACGGUCCAGACUCCUACGGGAGGCAGCAGUGGGGAAUAUUGGACAAUGGGCGCAAGCCUGAUCCAGCCAUACCGCGUGGGUGAAGAAGGCCUUCGGGUUGUAAAGCCCUUUUGUUGGGAAAGAAAAGCAGCAGGUUAAUACCCCGCUGUUCUGACGGUACCCAAAGAAUAAGCACCGGCUAACUUCGUG
rnacentral:rRNA from 1 species